GGCUUUCCUGCUAUGGACCAGGGCAAAGCGCUGGUGCCUUUCUCUGCACCCCCGUUUAUAAAACGGAGAUAAUGACCCCUUUUCCUUUUAACCGGAGUGCGGGGAGGCUUUGGUGCAUUUCUAAAGGACUUGGAGCCCCCCAUUUGAUUCCUCCUAGAGUACAGUAUUUGUACAGUAAGGGGUUUCCUACUUACGAACGUUCAAGUUGAGAAGUUUCAAAGAUGUGACCGUGGGUUUGCAAGUCCAGUCAGGGCAAUCACCAGCACACGUGAGGGGCGCCGACAAGAAGUGAACGCAUCUGGGUUUGGGCAGAACCUGGAGACCCCAGCCCGGGUCAGAGCGCCUGCCCUCCCACCAGCCAUGCUCCUCUUCUGAGCAGCUGUCCACUUCUGAGCCCCUGGGCCUGCCCCUCAGGCAAGGCCAAAGGCCACUCAGGACCUGUGCAAAGAGCAUUCUACCCAGGUCCCAAAGCUCCUGGCUAAACCCCCCAGUCUACGGCCACUUCAGAAAGAAAGGCAAGCCUCCCAGCUGCCGGGCACGGUUCUCUGUGGGAUUCCCAACAGACGACACAGAGGAAC
ensembl:lncRNA